GCCCGGAUGGCGGAAUUGGUAGACGCGUUGGUCUCAAACACCAAUAGGUUCACCCCUGUGCCGGUUCGACUCCGGCUCCGGGUA
rfam:Emticicia oligotrophica DSM 17448, complete genome.